rnacentral:tRNA from 1 species
GCGCUUGUAGCUCAGUCUGGAAAGAGUACAACCCUCCGAAGGUUGUGGUCACGCGUUCGAAUCGCGUCAAGCGCACCA